UCAUCUCUUUCACGUUGCAGCCUGUCGAAACCGCUUCACGCUUUCUACAUCCGCCGUGGCGAACGUAUACAAUCUUAACAACCAAUCAGAUUCUCACUAAUAUUUUCUAUCUUAUUUCAGCCAAUCAGCGUGUUUGUUUCUUAUACAUCGCCUAUAAAUUCGCUCGCUUUCACGAUUUCAUCAUUUCUACUCUGAUUCUUGCUGAGUGAACGUCAUUUUGACUCUGUCAUUUUCCUGCGCCAUUUCGUUUUCUUGUACACGAUGUCUGCUAAACGAACUUAUUCUGCAUCUAAUGUCCUGUUUGAAGAUCCUGACUUUCCUUUUCGGGACUCAGAUGACGAUUUAAUCGAUGAAGUGGAUCAGAUUUUUUCUGGAAAAUCCUAUGGAUCUACCCUUGUAUUAUCAAGUGGGUUCCGGAUUUGAGACUUCUUCCUCAUCAGCUCAUGGCCCUGUGUAUAUG